ncrna:unclassified sequences Glutamine riboswitch
AUCGUUCAUCCCUAGAGGGACGGAAGUAGUCGCAAGAUGAAGGAACGCAUU